UAGGGAAUAUUGGACAAUGGGGGCAACCCUGAUCCAGCCAUGCCGCGUGAGUGAAGAAGGCCCUCGGGUUGUAAAGCUCUUUUGUCCGGAAAGAAAAGCAUCUGGUUAAUACCCGGGUGUUCUGACGGUACCGGAAGAAUAAGCACCGGCUAACUUCGUGCCAGCAGCCGCGGUAAUACGAAGGGUGCAAGCGUUACUCGGAAUUACUGGGCGUAAAGCGUGCGUAGGUGGUUCGUUAAGUCUGAUGUGAAAGCCCUGGGCUCAACCUGGGAAUGGCAUUGGAUACUGGCGGGCUAGAGUGCGGUAGAGGGUAGUGGAAUUCCCGGUGUAGCAGUGAAAUGCGUAGAGAUCGGGAGGAACAUCUGUGGCGAAGGCGACUGCCUGGACCAGCACUGACACUGAGGCACGAAAGCGUGGGGAGCAAACAGGAUUAGAUACCCGAGUAG
rnacentral:rRNA from 1 species